rnacentral:tRNA from 1 species
CCCGCACCUGGCCGCGGCAGCGCAGGAGCUGCCGCUCUCGUCCGCGGAUGAGCGGUGGUUCGGCCCCACCAUGCAGGCC